GGAUCGUUAGCGGCGGACGGGUGAGUAACACGUGGGCAACCUGCCCUGUAGACGGGGAUAACACCGAGAAAUCGGUGCUAAUACCGGAUAAUACGAAAGACCGCAUGGUCUUUCGUUGAAAGGCGGCGCAGGCUGUCGCUACAGGAUGGGCCCGCGGCGCAUUAGCUAGUUGGUGAGGUAACGGCUCACCAAGGCGACGAUGCGUAGCCGACCUGAGAGGGUGAUCGGCCACACUGGGACUGAGACACGGCCCAGACUCCUACGGGAGGCAGCAGUAGGGAAUCUUCCGCAAUGGACGAAAGUCUGACGGAGCAACGCCGCGUGAGCGAAGAAGGCCUUCGGGUCGUAAAGCUCUGUUGUUAGGGAAGAACAAGUACCGCAGUCACUGGCGGUACCUUGACGGUACCUAACGAGGAAGCCACGGCUAACUACGUGCCAGCAGCCGCGGUAAUACGUAGGUGGCAAGCGUUGUCCGGAAUUAUUGGGCGUAAAGCGCGCGCAGGCGGUUCCUUAAGUCUGAUGUGAAAGCCCACGGCUCAACCGUGGAGGGUCAUUGGAAACUGGGGGACUUGAGUGCAGAAGAGGAGAGCGGAAUUCCACGUGUAGCGGUGAAAUGCGUAGAGAUGUGGAGGAACACCAGUG
rnacentral:rRNA from 1 species